UGCCAGCCGCCGCGGUAAUACGGAGGAUCCAAGCGUUAUCCGGAUUUAUUGGGUUUAAAGGGUGCGCAGGCGGUUUGAUAAGUCAGUGGUGAAAACUUGGGGCUUAACCCCAAGCCUGCCUCUGAUACUGUCGGACUAGAGAUUAGUUGCGGUAGGCGGAAUGUAUGGUGUAGCGGUGAAAUGCUUAGAGACCAUACAGAACACCGAUUGCGAAGGCAGCUUACCAAGCUAACUCUGACGCUCAGGCACGAAAGCAUGGGUAGCAAACAGGAUUAGAUA
rnacentral:rRNA from 1 species